rnacentral:rRNA from 1 species
GCUUAAUACAUGCAAGCGAGGGGCAGCACAGGGUAGCAAUACCUGGGUGGCGACCGGCAAACGGGUGCGGAACACGUACAGAACCUUCCUUCGAGCGGGGAAUAGCCCAGAGAAAUUUGGAUUAAUACCCCAUAGCAUAACGGAGUGGCAUCACUUUGUUAUUAAAGAUUUAUCACUUGAAGAUGGCUGUGCGUAUGAUUAGGUAGUUGGCGGGGUAACGGCCCACCAAGCCUACGAUCAUUAACUGGUGUGAGAGCACGACCAGUCACACGGGCACUGAGACACGGGCCCGACUCCUACGGGAGGCAGCAGUAAGGAAUAUUGGUCAAUGGACGCAAGUCUGAACCAGCCAUGCCGCGUGGAGGAUGAAGGUCCUCUGGAUUGUAAACUUCUUUUAUCUGGGACGAAAAAAGGGAAUUCUUUCUCGUCUGACGGUACCAGAUGAAUAAGCACCGGCUAACUCCGUGCCAGCAGCCGCGGUAAUACGGAGGGUGCAAGCGUUAUCCGGAUUCACUGGGUUUAAAGGGUGCGUAGGCGGGUAUGUAAGUCCGUGGUGAAAUCUCCGAGCUUAACUCGGAAACUGCCAUGGGUACUGCGUAUCUUGAAUGUUGUGGAGGUGAGCGGAAUAUGUCAUGUAGCGGUGAAAUGCUUAGAUAUGACAUAGAACACCAAUUGCGAAGGCAGCUCACUACACAAAUAUUGACGCUGAGGCACGAAAGCGUGGGGAUCAAACAGGAUUAGAUACCCUGGUAGUCCACGCCCUAAACGAUGAUUACUCGACAUACGUGAUACACAAUGUG